rnacentral:pre_miRNA from 1 species
CCGGUUCUUAUCUGGUUAUCAUGUAGCUUUCUCAUGCUGCCUGGUAAGAGCUGUGA